GACGAACGCUGGCGGCGUGCUUAACACAUGCAAGUCGAACGGAAAGGCCUGCUUUCCCUUGUGGAUUGCGGGUACUCGAGUGGCGAACGGGUGAGUAACACGUGAGUGAUCUGCCCCCAACUUGGGUAUAAGCCUGGGAAACUGGGUCUAAUUCCCGAUAGGACUGCAGGGUGGUGCCUGUGGUGGAAAACGAUUUUCUAGUGGUUGGGGAUGAGCUCGCGGCCUAUCAGCUUGUUGGUGGGGUAAUGGCCUACCAAGGCGGCGACGGGUAGCCGGCCUGAGAGGGUGGACGGGCACAUUGGGACUGGGAGACGGCCCAGACUCCUACGGGAGGCAGCAGUGGGGAAUAUUGCACAAUGGGCGGAAGCCUGAUGCAGCGACGCCGCGUGGGGGAUGACGGGCUUCGGGUUGUAAACUCCUUUCGACCGCGAGGAAGCCACCUGGUUGGAAGGGUGGUGACGGUAGUGGUAGAAGAAGCACCGGCUAACUACGUG
rnacentral:rRNA from 1 species